AUGGAGGUGGAGAAAUUCAUAAUUUAUUAGAAGAAAGGAAAAGAAAAUGUUAUUUUGAUUAUAUUUGUGCCCACUGUUAAAAGUUUGAUUGCUAUCUAUAACAUGCAUCGAAGGUUUUCAUUUCCUGUGUUUGCUUCGAACACCACCCAAGUCUUCAAGCCAAGAGACUCCUCUUGUGCUGCCAUUUUUCCAAGAGACCAAUAAUAUUCAAGUCAAAAGUUGAGAGGAACAACAAAAAUAGCGCAUAAUUCUACUAAAUAUUAUUGUCAUGUUUUUUCAUCAGAACGGAUAUCAUAGUCACAUGGGG
rnacentral:lncRNA from 1 species